UACGGGGGGGGCAAGCGUUGUUCGGAAUUACUGGGCGUAAAGGGCUCGUAGGUGGCCAACUAAGUCAGACGUGAAAUCCCCAGGCUCAACUUGGGAACUGCGUCUGAUACUGGAUGGCUUGGAUUGGGAGAGGGAUGCGGAAUUCCAGGUGUAGCGGUGAAAUGCGUAGAUAUCUGGAGGAAUACCGGUGGCGAAGGCGGCAUCCUGGACCGACAUUGACGCUGAGGAGCGAAAGCUAGGGGAGCAAACGGG
rnacentral:rRNA from 1 species